GUACUCCCCAUCCUGCUGCUCUUGGCUCUAGACUGAAACACUAUUUAGGAAAUAUGCUUUAGCUGGACACUGUUUAGACUUUAACAUCCUUGAUUUUAGACAUCUUACAAGGUCAGGACUAUGGAGAGUCUUCCAGAAACAGGUGUUUCCCAUUGCAGUGCUGCAAGUGGCACUUUGGAAAAUGUGGAUACUUCACGGUGGUUCUGUUGCCAUACAGGACUUGUCUCCGGAAUAAUACAUCUUGUCUGCAGCAUCGACCAGCACUGGGUGCUUAUGAAGGGGACAGAAGAUUGUGCAUUGAAAUAUGAAGCUUGAGAGCCAGACAGGGAUUGCUGAAUCAUGAGAUAUUUUCUCAUCCA